rfam:Candidatus Yanofskybacteria bacterium RIFCSPHIGHO2_01_FTLL_48_25b rifcsphigho2_01_scaffold_995, whole genome shotgun sequence.
GCAGGUGUAACACAGCGGUAGUGUACUUGCUUCCCAAGCAAGAAACGCGGGUUCAACUCCCGCCACCUGCU